rnacentral:rRNA from 1 species
UACAUGGGGUGCAAACGUUGCUCGGAAUCAUUGGGCGUAAAGCGCGCGUAGGCGGUUACUUAAGUUGGAUGUGAAAGCCCUCGCUUAACCGAGGAAGUGCGCCCGAAACUGCAGAGCUUGAGUGCCGGAGAGGGUGGCGGAAUUCCCCAAGUAGAGGUGAAAUUCGUAGAUAUUGGGAGGAACACCAGUGGCGAAGGCGGCUCACUGGACCGGUACUGACGCUGAGGCGCGAAAGCGUGGGGAGCAAACGGG